GUACACAAAAAUGCACAUGCUGUGAGCUCGAUGAGUAGGGCGGGACACGUGGUAUCCUGUCUGAAUAUGGGGGGACCAUCCUCCAAGGCUAAAUACUCCUGACUGACCGAUAGUGAACCAGUACCGUGAGGGAAAGGCGAAAAGAACCCCGGCGAGGGGAGUGAAAAAGAACCUGAAACCGUGUACGUACAAGCAGUGGGAGCACGCUUAGGCGUGUGACUGCGUACCUUUUGUAUAAUGGGUCAGCGACUUAUAUUCUGUAGCAAGGUUAACCGAAUAGGGGAGCCGAAGGGAAACCGAGUCUUAACUGGGCGUUAAGUUGCAGGGUAUAGACCCGAAACCCGGUGAUCUAGCCAUGGGCAGGUUGAAGGUUGGGUAACACUAACUGGAGGACCGAACCGACUAAUGUUGAAAAAUUAGCGGAUGACUUGUGGCUGGGGGUGAAAGGCCAAUCAAACCGGGAGAUAGCUGGUUCUCCCCGAAAGCUAUUUAGGUAGCGCCUCGUGAAUUCAUCUCCGGGGGUAGAGCACUGUUUCGGCAAGGGGGUCAUCCCGACUUACCAACCCGAUGCAAACUGCGAAUACCGGAGAAUGUUAUCACGGGAGACACACGGCGGGUGCUAACGUCCGUCGUGAAGAGGGAAACAACCCAGACCGCCAGCUAAGGUCCCAAAGUCAUGGUUAAGUGGGAAACGAUGUGGGAAGGCCCAGACAGCCAGGAUGUUGGCUUAGAAGCAGCCAUCAUUUAAAGAAAGCGUAAUAGCUCACUGGUCGAGUCGGCCUGCGCGGAAGAUGUAACGGGGCUAAACCAUGCACCGAAGCUGCGGCAGCGACGCUGAUGCGUUGUUGGGUAGGGGAGCGUUCUGUAAGCCUGCGAAGGUGUGCUGUGAGGCAUGCUGGAGGUAUCAGAAGUGCGAAUGCUGACAUAAGUAACGAUAAAGCGGGUGAAAAGCCCGCUCGCCGGAAGACCAAGGGUUCCUGUCCAACGUUAAUCGGGGCAGGGUGAGUCGACCCCUAAGGCGAGGCCGAAAGGCGUAGUCGAUGGGAAACAGGUUAAUAUUCCUGUACUUGGUGUUACUGCGAAGGGGGGACGGAGAAGGCUAUGUUGGCCGGGCGACGGUUGUCCCGGUUUAAGCGUGUAGGCUGGUUUUCCAGGCAAAUCCGGAAAAUCAAGGCUGAGGCGUGAUGACGAGGCACUACGGUGCUGAAGCAACAAAUGCCCUGCUUCCAGGAAAAGCCUCUAAGCAUCAGGUAACAUCAAAUCGUACCCCAAACCGACACAGGUGGUCAGGUAGAGAAUACCAAGGCGCUUGAGAGAACUCGGGUGAAGGAACUAGGCAAAAUGGUGCCGUAACUUCGGGAGAAGGCACGCUGAUAUGUAGGUGAAGCGACUUGCUCGUGGAGCUGAAAUCAGUCGAAGAUACCAGCUGGCUGCAACUGUUUAUUAAAAACACAGCACUGUGCAAACACGAAAGUGGACGUAUACGGUGUGACGCCUGCCCGGUGCCGGAAGGUUAAUUGAUGGGGUCAGCGCAAGCGAAGCUCUUGAUCGAAGCCCCGGUAAACGGCGGCCGUAACUAUAACGGUCCUAAGGUAGCGAAAUUCCUUGUCGGGUAAGUUCCGACCUGCACGAAUGGCGUAAUGAUGGCCAGGCUGUCUCCACCCGAGACUCAGUGAAAUUGAACUCGCUGUGAAGAUGCAGUGUACCCGCGGCAAGACGGAAAGACCCCGUGAACCUUUACUAUAGCUUGACACUGAACAUUGAGCCUUGAUGUGUAGGAUAGGUGGGAGGCUUGGAAGUGUGGACGCCAGUCUGCAUGGAGCCGACCUUGAAAUACCACCCUUUAAUGUUUGAUGUUCUAACGUUGACCCGUAAUCCGGGUUGCGGACAGUGUCUGGUGGGUAGUUUGACUGGGGCGGUCUCCUCCUAAAGAGUAACGGAGGAGCACGAAGGUUGGCUAAUCCUGGUCGGACAUCAGGAGGUUAGUGCAAUGGCAUAAGCCAGCUUGACUGCGAGCGUGACGGCGCGAGCAGGUGCGAAAGCAGGUCAUAGUGAUCCGGUGGUUCUGAAUGGAAGGGCCAUCGCUCAACGGAUAAAAGGUACUCCGGGGAUAACAGGCUGAUACCGCCCAAGAGUUCAUAUCGACGGCGGUGUUUGGCACCUCGAUGUCGGCUCAUCACAUCCUGGGGCUGAAGUAGGUCCCAAGGGUAUGGCUGUUCGCCAUUUAAAGUGGUACGCGAGCUGGGUUUAGAACGUCGUGAGACAGUUC
rnacentral:rRNA from 1 species